GUGAAUCAUCAAAUUUUUGAACGCAAAUUGCACUCUCUGGUAUUCCGGAGAGUAUGCCUGUUUGAGGGUCAGUAUAAAUAAAAAUCGGCGUGUUGCGCUUUUGUGACGUUCCGGAGUUUUGGUCAUCUUAUAACAACACCCUUUCAGGGUAUUUUUAAGAAGCUUAAAAUUGACUUUUUUGGUGCAUUUAAGUCUUACAUUAAUUUUUUUUUAUUCGUUUAUCUUAAUUCCAAAUCUCUAUUAGAUUCGACCAUAUCG
rnacentral:misc_RNA from 1 species